rnacentral:rRNA from 1 species
GAGUUUGAUCGUGGCUCAGAUUGAACGCUGGCGGCAUGCCUUACACAUGCAAGUCGAACGGCAGCACGGGAGCUUGCUCCUGGUGGCGAGUGGCGAACGGGUGAGUAAUGCAUCGGAACGUAUCCUGGAGUGGGGGAUAACGUAGCGAAAGUUACGCUAAUACCGCAUAUUCUGUGAGCAGGAAAGCGGGGGACCUUCGGGGCCUCGCGCUCUUGGAGCGGCCGAUGUCGGAUUAGCUAGUUGGUGAGGUAAAGGCUCACCAAGGCGACGAUCCGUAGCAGGUCUGAGAGGAUGAUCUGCCACACUGGAACUGAGACACGGUCCAGACUCCUACGGGAGGCAGCAGUGGGAAUUUUGGACAAUGGGGGCAACCCUGAUCCAGCCAUGCCGCGUGAGUGAAGAAGGCCUCGG